rnacentral:rRNA from 1 species
GAUGAACGCUGGCGGCGUGCUUAAUACACGCAAGUCGAGCGAAGCACUUUAACGGAAUUCUUCGGAAGGAAGGUAAAGUGACUGAGCGGCGGACGGGUGAGUAACGCGUGGGUAACCUGCCUCGGAGUGGGGAAUAACAGUUGGAAACAGCUACUAAUACCGCAUGAUGCAACGGAAUCGCAUGACUCUGUUGCCAAAGAUUUAUCGCUCUGAGAUGGCCUCGCGUCUGAUUAGCUAGUUGGCGGGGUAACGGCCCACCAAGGCGACGAUCAGUAGCCGGACUGAGAGGUUGGCCGGCCACAUUGGGACUGAGACACGGCCCAG